rnacentral:tRNA from 2 species
AACAAAUUUUUGCAGGUCUUCUAAAUCUGUUUAGGGUGAUUGGCCCAUUUGUUU